AGAACGAACGCUGGCGGCACGUUUUAAGCAUGCAAGUCGAACGGUAGUCCCGUUUUCGGAUGGGAUGAGAGUGGCGGACGGGUGAGUAACACGUAGGUGAUCUAUCUUAUGGUUGGGGGAUAGCCCAUGGAAACAUGGGGUAAUACCGCAUGAGGCUGUAGUCGUAGGGAUUACAGUGAAAGGCGCGUUAUGUGCCGACUGAGGAUGAGCCUGCGGUCCAUUAGCUAGUUGGUUAGGGUAAGAGCCUACCAAGGCGACGAUGGAUAGCCGGCCUGAGAGGGUGGACGGCCACACUGGGACUGAGACACGGCCCAGACUCCUACGGGAGGCAGCAGCUAAGAAUCUUCCGCAAUGGGCGAAAGCCUGACGGAGCGAUGCCGCGUGAACGAUGAAGGCGGGAAUGUUGUAAAGUUCUUUUCUUGGUGAGGAAUAAGGUUAAGAGUGGACUGCUUGACUGAUGACGUUAGCCAAGGAAUAAGCCCCGGCCAAUUACGUGCCAGCAGCCGCGGUAACACGUAAGGGGCAAGCGUUGUUCGGAAUUAUUGGGCGUAAAGGGCGUGUAGGCGGAUAUAUAAGCCUGGUGUAAAAGGCUUCGGCUCAACCGGAGUUAGGCGCUGGGAACUGUAUGUCUAGAGUACAGGAGGGGGAGUUGGAAUUCCUGGUGUAGGGGUGAAAUCUGUAGAUAUCAGGAAGAACACCGGUGGCGAAGGCGAACUCCUGGCCUGUUACUGACGCUGAGGCGCGAAAGCGUGGGGAGCGAACAGGAUUAGAUACCCUGGUAGUCCACGCUGUAAACGAUGUGCACUGGGUGUU
rnacentral:rRNA from 1 species